rnacentral:rRNA from 1 species
ACGCUCGACACCUACGGGAGGUAGCAGUGGGGAAUAUUGGGCAAUGGAGGCAACUCUGACCCAGCAACGCCGCGUGAGUGAUGAAGGUCUUCGGAUUGUAAAACUCUUUAAGUAGGGACGAAGAAAGUGACGGUACCUACAGAAUAAGCCUCGGCUAACUACGUGCCAACAGCCGCGGUAAUCUGAGCGGGCUGGCAAGGC